rnacentral:tRNA from 1 species
GGGCCGAUAGUUCACUGGUAGAACGCUUCUCUGAUAAAGAAGAGGCAGAUGGUUCGAUUCCAUCUCGGCCCA